GUGGGGAAUAUUGGACAAUGGGCGAAAGCCUGAUCCAGCCAUGCCGCGUGUGUGAAGAAGGUCUUCGGAUUGUAAAGCACUUUAAGUUGGGAGGAAGGGCAGUAAGUUAAUACCUUGCUGUUUUGACGUUACCGACAGAAUAAGCACCGGCUAACUUCGUGCCAGCAGCCGCGGUAAUACGAAGGGUGCAAGCGUUAAUCGGAAUUACUGGGCGUACAGCGCGCGGAGGUGGUUUUGUAAGUUGGAGGUGAAAUCCCCGGGCCCAACCUGGGAACUGCAUCCAAAACUGCAUGACUAGAGUACGGUAGAGGGUAGUGGAAUUUCCUGUGUAGCGGUGAAAUGCGUAGAUAUAGGAAGGAACACCAGUGGCGAAGGCGACCACCUGGACUGAUACUGACACUGAGGUGCGAAAGCGUGGGGAGCAAACAGGAUUAGAAACCCGAGUAGUCC
rnacentral:rRNA from 1 species